CAGCCGCCGCGGUAAUACGAAGGGGGCUAGCGUUGUUCGGAUUUACUGGGCGUAAAGCGCACGUAGGCGGACUUUUAAGUCAGGGGUGAGAUCCCGGGGCUCAACCCCGGAACUGCCUUUGAUACUGGAGAUCUUGAGUUCGGAAGAGGUUGGUGGAACAGCUAGUGUAGAGGUGAAAUUCGUAGAUAUUAGCUAGAACACCAGUGGCGAAGGCGGCCAACUGGUCCGAUACUGACGCUGAGGUGCGAAAGCGUGGGGAGCAAACAGGAUUAGAUACCCCAGUAGUCCCUGUCUCUUAUAC
rnacentral:rRNA from 1 species